ACGGUUAGCGGAUGCAUUGACGGUUACACGGCACGCUUGCCCCUUACCAGGUCUUGACAUCCUCUGAAAACCCUAGAGAUAGGGCUUCUCCUUCGGGAGCAGAGUGACAGGUGGUGCAUGGUUGUCGUCAGCUCGUGUCGUGAGAUGUUGGGUUAAGUCCCGCAACGAGCGCAACCCUUGAUCUUAGUUGCCAUCAUUAAGUUGGGCACUCUAAGGUGACUGCCGGUGACAAACCGGAGGAAGGUGGGGAUGACGUCAAAUCAUCAUGCCCCUUAUGACCUGGGCUACACACGUGCUACAAUGGACGGUACAAAGAGCUGCAAGACCGCGAGGUGGAGCUAAUCUCAUAAAACCGUUCUCAGUUCGGAUUGUAGGCUGCAACUCGCCUACAUGAAGCUGGAAUCGCUAGUAAUCGCGGAUCAGCAUGCCGCGGUGAAUACGUUCCCGGGCCUUGUACACACCCGCCCGUACACACAAAUUAUUUGCCCCUACACACUGCGCGUAUACGCCGCAAACGUAUGCCGGUAUACACCUGAUGAGUUUACGGGCAUUCGUUCAGGCGUAUA
rnacentral:rRNA from 1 species